rnacentral:rRNA from 1 species
GAUGAACGCUGGCGGCGUGCCAAAUACAUGCAAGUCGAGCGAACAGAUGAGGAGCUUGCUCCUCUGACGUUAGCGGCGGACGGGUGAGUAACACGUGGAUAACCUACCUAUAAGACUGGGAUAACUUCGGGAAACCGGAGCUAAUACCGGAUAAUAUAUUGAACCGCAGGGUUCAAUAGUGAAAGACGGUUUUGCUGUCACUUAUAGAUGGAUCCGCGCCGCAUUAGCUAGUUGGUAAGGUAACGGCUUACCAAGGCAACGAUGCGUAGCCGACCUGAGAGGGUGAUCGGCCACACUGGAACUGAGACACGGUCCAGACUCCUACGGGAGGCAGCAGUAGGGAAUCUUCCGCAAUGGGCGAAAGCUUGACGGAGCAACGCCGCGUGAGUGAUGAAGGUCUUCGGAUCGUAAAACUCUGUUAUUAGGGAAGAACAAAUGUGUAAGUAACUAUGCACGUCUUGACGGUACCUAAUCAGAAAGCCACGGCUAACUACGUG